rnacentral:misc_RNA from 1 species
AACCUUAUGGACCUGCGGGCGUAUACCUGCGGAGGGAUCAUUACAGAGAUUGAUGCACCAAGUGCAUCACCUCCAACCCCUUGCGAAAACAACUAUCAUGUGUUGCUUUGGCAGUGUUUCCACUGCCAGAGGUUUACAUAAAAUCAGCUGUUGGAUGUUGUCUGAGUAAACUAUAUGAAUUAUUUAAAACUUUCAACAACGGAUCU